rnacentral:rRNA from 1 species
AUUGAACGCUGGCGGCAGGCCUAACACAUGCAAGUCGAGCGGUAGAGAGAAGCUUGCUUCUCUUGAGAGCGGCGGACGGGUGAGUAAUGCCUAGGAAUCUGCCUGAUAGUGGGGGAUAACGUCCGGAAACGGACGCUAAUACCGCAUACGCCCUACGGGAGUAAGUGGGGGCUCUUCGGACCUCACGCUAUCAGAUGAGCCUGGGUCGGAUUAGCUAGUUGGUGAGGUAAUGGCUCACCAAGGCGACGAUCCGUAACUGGUCUGAGAGGAUGAUCAGUCACACUGGAACUGAGACACGGUCCAGACUCCUACGGGAGGCAGCAGUGGGGAAUAUUGGACAAUGGGCGAAAGCCUGAUCCAGCCAUGCUGCGUGUGUGAAGAAGGUCUUCGGAUUGUAAAGCACUUUAAGUUGGGAGGAAGGGUCGUUACCUAAUACGUGGCGAUUUUGACGUUACCGACAGAAUAAGCACCGGCUAACUCUGUGCCAGCCGCCGCAGUAAUAC